rnacentral:rRNA from 1 species
CCUACGGGAGGCAGCAGUGAGGAAUAUUGGUCAAUGGGCGCGAGCCUGAACCAGCCAAGUAGCGUGAAGGAUGACUGCCCUACGGGUUGUAAACUUCUUUUAUAAAAGAAUAAAGUGAGGCACGUGUGCCUGUUUGUAUGUACCUUAUGAAUAAGGAUCGGCUAACUCCGUGCCAGCAGCCGCGGUAAUACGGAGGAUCCGAGCGUUAUCCGGAUUUAUUGGGGUUAAAGGGAGCGUAGGAGGGUUGAUAAGUCAGUUGUGAAAGUUCGGGGCUCAACCGUAAAAUUGCAAUUGAUACUGGCAGUCUUGAGUGUAGUUGAGGUAGGCGGAAUGCGUGGUGUAGCGGUGAAAUGCUUAGAGAUCACGAAGAACUCCGAUUGCGAAGGCAGCUUACUAAACUGCCACUGACAUUGAUGCUCGAAAGUGUGGGUAUCAAACAGGAUUAGAUACCCGGGUAGUC